rnacentral:rRNA from 1 species
UGGCUCAGAAUGAACGCUGGCGGCGUGCUUAACACAUGCAAGUCGAACGAGAACUCUCCUGCUUGCAGGAGAUAGUAAAGUGGCGCACGGGUGAGUAACGCGUGGGUAAUCUACCUUGGAAUCGGGGAUAACAAUGCGAAGGCGUUGCUAAUACCGGAUGAAGUUUUUUUCGCUUCGGCGGGGGGAACCAAAGGCGACCUCUCCAUGGAAGUUGUCGUUUCAAGAUGAGCCCGCGUACCAUUAGCUGGUUGGUGGGGUAACGGCCCACCAAGGCGACGAUGGUUAGCUGGUCUGAGAGGAUGAUCAGCCACACUGGAACUGACACACGGUCCAGACUCCUACGGGAGGCAGCAGUGAGGAAUUUUGCGCAAUGGGGGAAACCCUGACGCAGCAACGCCGCGUGAGUGAUGAAGGCCUUCGGGUCGUAAAGCUCUGUCUGGUGGGAAGAACCUCGGGAUUCGGACAACGGAUUCGGACUGACGGUACCACCGAAGGAAGCACCGGCUAACUCCGUGCCAGCAGCCGCGGUAAUACGGAGGGUGCGAGCGUUAUUCGGAAUUAUUGGGCGUAAAGGGCGCGUAGGCGGUUUUGUAAGUCAGAUGUGAAAGCCCGGGGCUUACCCCUGGAAGUGCAUUUGAAACUACGAGACUUGAGUAUGGGAGAGGGAAGCGGAAUUCCUGGUGUAGAGGUGAAAUUCGUAGAUAUCAGGAGGAACACCGGUGGCGAAGGCGGCUUCCUGGACCAAUACUGACGCUGAGGCGCGAAGGCGUGGGGAGCAAACAGGAUUAGAUACCCUGGUAGUCCACGCAGUAAACGGUGAUCACUAGGUGUAGCGGGUAUUGACCCCUGCUGUG